rnacentral:snRNA from 1 species
UACUACCGGCCAAGCCGCUAAG